AACGCACCUUGCGCUCCUUGGUACUCCGAGGAGCAUGCCUGUUUGAGUGUCAUUAAAUUCUCAACCUCAUCAGUUUUGUAACGAGACUGUGUGAAGUUGGAUGUGGGGGUUUGUGCAGGCUGCCUCAGUGCGGUCUGCUCCCCUGAAAUGCAUUAGCGAGUUCAAACUGGGCUCCGUCUAUUGGUGUGAUAAUUAUCUACGCCGUGGAUUGGGCUUAGACUUGCUUCUAACCGUCCGCAAGGACAAUCUUUUGACAAUUUGACCUCAAAUCAGGUAGGACUACCCGCUGAACUUAA
rnacentral:misc_RNA from 1 species